UUGAUAUCUAAAAACUUUAUUCAAAAGAAAUUAUAAACAAACAAAAACUUAAAUGGUUAACACAAAAUAGGAAGAAACAAUAUACAUGGUGUGAACAUACAUGUUGUAUUGUGAAUAUUUAACAAAUACCUGCACAGAUAAAGACAGGGGUAAUGCGUCAUACAUUUGUAAUUUAGGUCUCAACUGUGUAUAUACCGCAAUUCCCGACUUAAGGCUUAUAAGCUCUAAUCCGAGGGAGUCACUGAGACCAGAAUAGCAUAUAGCAUUACGGAUAGCCAAUGUGUUAAAUAACAACAC
rnacentral:lncRNA from 1 species